rnacentral:rRNA from 1 species
UGGACGGGAUAAGUGCUGAAAGCAUCUAAGCAUGAAGCCCCCUUCAAGAUGAGAUUUCCCAACUUCGGUUAUAAGAUCCCUCGAAGAUGACGAGGUUAAUAGGUUCGAGGUGGAAGCGUGGCGACACGUGGAGCUGACGAAUACUAAUCGAUCGAAGACUUAAUCAA